UACGGAGGGUGCAAGCGUUAUCCGGAUUCACUGGGUUUAAAGGGUGCGUAGGUGGGUCUGUAAGUCAGUGGUGAAAUCUCCGAGCUUAACUCGGAAACUGCCAUUGAUACUAUAGGUCUUGAAUUAUCUGGAGGUGAGCGGAAUAUGUCAUGUAGCGGUGAAAAUGCUUUAGAUAUGACAUAGAACACCAAAUUUGCGAA
rnacentral:rRNA from 1 species